rnacentral:rRNA from 1 species
AGGACGAACGCUGGCGGCGUGCUUAACACAUGCAAGUCGAGCGGAAAGGCCCUUCGGGGUACUCGAGCGGCGAACGGGUGAGUAACACGUGAGCAAUCUGCCCUUAGCUUCGGGAUAGCUCCGGGAAACCGGAAUUAAUACCGAAUAUGACUUCGGCCGACAUCGGCCUUGGUGGAAAGUUUUUCGGCUAGGGAUGAACUCGCGGCCUAUCAGCUUGUUGGUGGGGUAAUGGCCUACCAAGGCGACGACGGGUAGCCGGCCUGAGAGGGCGACCGGCCACACUGGGACUGAGACACGGCCCAGACUCCUACGGGAGGCAGCAGUGGGAAUAUUGCGCAAUGGGCGAAAGCCUGACGCAGCGACGCCGCGUGGGGGAUGAAGGCCUUCGGGUUGUAAACCCUUCAGCAGGGACGAAGCGAAAGUGACGGUACCUGCAGAAGAAGCGCCGGCUAACUACGCGCCAGCAGCCGC